rnacentral:rRNA from 1 species
GAUGAACGCUGGCGGCGUGCUUAACACAUGCAAGUCGAACGGAGUUAAUUUGAGGAAGCAAGCUUGCUUGAAGAAUUGAAUUAACUUAGUGGCGGACGGGCGAGUAACACGUGAGCAACCUGCCUCUUACAGGGGAAUAACAACGGGAAACCGUUGCUAAUACCGCAUAAUAUGUUGAAAGGGCAUCCUUUUAACAUCAAAGGAGCAAUCCGGUAAGAGAUGGGCUCGCGUCCGAUUAGCUAGUUGGUAGGGUAACGGCCUACCAAGGUGACGAUCGGUAGCCGGACUGAGAGGUCGAACGGCCGCAUUGGGACUGAGACACGGCCCAGACUCCUACGGGAGGCAGCAGUGGGGAAUAUUGGGCAAUGGGCGAAAGCCUGACCCAGCAACGCCGCGUGAGUGAUGAAGGCCUUCGGGUUGUAAAACUCUUUGGACAGGGACGAAGAAAGUGACGUAC